rnacentral:rRNA from 1 species
UACGUAGGGGGCAAGCGUUGUCCGGAUUUAUUGGGCGUAAAGCGCGUGUAGGCGGUCCGGUAAGUCCGCUGUGAAAGUCGAGGGCUCAACCCUCGAAUGCCGGUGGAUACUGUCGGGCUUGAGUACGGGAGAGGCGAGUGGAAUUCCUGGUGUAGCGGUGAAAUGCGCAGAUAUCUGGAGGAAUACCGGUGGCGAAGGCGGCAUCCUGGACCGACAUUGACGCUGAGGAGCGAAAGCUAGGGGAGCAAACGGG